CAGUAGCCACGGUAAUACGUAGGUGGCAAGCGUUGUCCGGAAUUAUUGGGCGUAAAGGGCUCGCAGGCGGUUUCUUAAGUCUGAUGUGAAAGCCCCCGGCUCAACCGGGGAGGGUCAUUGGAAACUGGGAAACUUGAGUGCAGAAGAGGAGAGUGGAAUUCCACGUGUAGCGGUGAAAUGCGUAGAGAUGUGGAGGAACACCAGUGGCGAGGGCGACUCUCUGGUCUGUAACUGACGCUGAGGAGCGAAAGCGUGGGGAGCGAACAGGAUUAGAUACCCCCGUAGUCCCUGUCUCUUAUAC
rnacentral:rRNA from 1 species